UUAGAUACCCUGGUAGUCCACGCCGUAAACGAUGAGUACUAGGUGUAGGAGGUAUCGACCCCUUCUGUGCCGCAGUAAACACAAUAAGUACUCCGCCUGGGAAGUACGAUCGCAAGAUUAAAACUCAAAGGAAUUGACGGGGGCCCGCACAAGCAGCGGAGCAUGUGGUUUAAUUCGAAGCAACGCGAAGAACCUUACCUGGACUUGACAUCCCCUGAAUAUCUUAGAGAUAAGAGAAGCCCUUCGGGGCAGGGAGACAGGUGGUGCAUGGUUGUCGUCAGCUCGUGUCGUGAGAUGUUAGGUUAAGUCCUGCAACGAGCGCAACCCCUGUUGUUAGUUGCUAACAGUAAGAUGAGCACUCUAACAAGACUGCCGCGGUUAACGCGGAGGAAGGUGGGGAUGACGUCAAAUCAUCAUGCCCCUUAUGUCCAGGGCAACACACGUGCUACAAUGGGUAGGAACAACGAGACGCAAGACCGCAAGGUGGAGCAAACCUCAAAAACUACUCUCAGUUCGGAUUGCAGGCUGAAACCCGCCUGCAUGAAGCUGGAGUUGCUAGUAAUCGCGAAUCAGCAUGUCGCGGUGAAUACGUUCCCGGGCCUUGUACACACCGCCCGUCACACCAUGAGAGCUGGCAACACCCGAAGUCCGUAGUCUAACGAAAGAGGACGCGGCCGAAGGUGGGGUUAGUGAUUGGGGUGAAGUCGUAACAAGGUAACCGUA
rnacentral:rRNA from 1 species